CCUCGGAUCAGGUAGGAAUACCCGCUGAACUUAAGCAUAUCAAUAAGCGGAG
rnacentral:rRNA from 2 species